rnacentral:lncRNA from 1 species
UGAAAAGUAAAGCAUAAGUAUCCCAGAUUGGACUCUUGAACUUGGUGGAUGUUUGACUUUAGUUGGAUCUAGCUUGUUCGUGAAUUUUGUGAAUUUGCACUGUAUGAUGCCUUCAAAGAUAUCUAUUAUGUCUUAAAUUUGAUUUUAUAUCAGUUAACAUUGUUGUGGAGCACACACGCACUAUAUCAGUGAUAACAGUCUAAGAUUUGAUGAUUGAUUGGGAAAUUACUGAUUUGUUUUAAUAUGAUGUAUUAUCAUGUUUACUUGAUUUCUCUAAGGCCGGUUGAAUAGACUUGUUUCUGUCAUUACUGUUGGA